GCAGACGGCCUAUGGUGGGACUUCACCUUGUGAUCGUCUACCUUGAUGCUGAACAUCCCCUGAAGCAACAGGACUGCAUGAGCUUGGUGUGGCUGAGCCCAUGUCCUAAUGAACAUCCAGAAAAGAAAGACACUCAGAAAGCCAGGAAAAUGGAAGAAUUUUUUUUUUCAGCCAGCCAGGCACCUGACAGUAAUCAAAAUCUGUAAAGAACAGGAUGUGGAGCCUCCUCUGCUUGUUCAGCACGAACAUUUUGUGGGUGUACCCAAAGCAACCAAUGGAACAAAGAAUUGGACAAAACGCACAAACAAAGCAAGAAGGAAUGAAGGGUUUUAUUGAAAAUGAAAGUACACUCCACAGUGUGGGAGUGGGCCUGAGCAGAGGGGCUCAAAGGCCCCAUUGUAGAAUUUUGGGGAGUUUAAAUAUCCCCAAGAACCUGAACAACCUCUGCCGUUAACAUAUUUUGGUGACCCGGGAAGGAGGAAGAGAACCAAACUUCAGUUUCAAAAUUGUCUUUCCUAAUGCCUGGCUUUCUGGAUGGAUCACAGGGCCCAUGAAAACAUCGAGAAAAGAGGUGAAGAAAGCUUUCUAUGGUUUGAAUCUUCUGGAAACAUCAGAGAAAGACUGUCCUUGCCAUCCAUACUAUAACAAAACUUCAGGACUUUGGGCUUCGGGUUCAUGGUUUCACAACUGAGAAGGGUUCAUCCACCGUUUUGGAACUGUGCACCCAUUGGAACCCUUGAGGUAAAGCUAACCAGGGAAAUUUCUCCCAAGAAGAAGAUGGCAUCCUUGAUGUGAACAGCUUUUCCCAAGUUCACAGAUUAAGACUUCUACUGUCACAAAACUCUGAUCUUUGAAUGUUUUUUCUUGCUUAUGCCUCUAUGAACAAUAGAAGUGGAAACGGGGUCUGUUAUGUGCACUAAUGGGGUGUACUUUUGUGAAGGAGUUUGCAGCCAUCCUUAUACAUGGAUAACCUUAAACUUUGAUAGAUAAAUGAUGAAGGCACAAUGUAAAUAAGAAACUUUAAUGUUGCCUCAUAUGUACAUAUGUUGCCUCAUAAUCAGUCAAAACCAAAACAUUGAUUCACUCCUCUUAACCCACAUCAUGGGUUAAAAACAACAUUAACAGAAGGCCUUCACUCUUCUAAAAGGACAUCAUUUUUUAGGUCCUUUUCCAUGGUUUAAAGUAAAAGAAGCAAUGAUUAGAAAUAUAUCCCUCAUGGUAGGCUCUAUAGAAAAUUCUACUGUAAAGGCUACAGUUACACAACAAACUCUAAAUUCUUAGGUGAAAGUUAUGAUAGAAUUGGCUGAACAAAGAGUAUGUGUGCAGCUGCUGGCACUUGUGGCCUAUGGAGAAAUACAUCAAAUGAAGAUUAUAGAAAUUCAGUGGUAGGGGAUUAACAAAGAGACUGCUUAGUUAAGUGAGUAAACUCUUUAUCUAGUUCAUUCUUUGAUCCAUUUGAUUUUAGGAGGUUUAAUUUAUGGGUGUGGGAUAUGAUGAGAUUUCUCUUCAAAUAACCCGAUCAAUCUUUUAUUCUUUAAUUCAUAGUAACCCCCCUUUUACCUUUUUCUCCUUUUUUAUUUCCUUUUUGCCUUUGUUAGAUGCCCAGGCACACCACAGUAACAGGCAUUAUCAGUAGCAGCUCACAUUCCUUUCCUUAUUUGGAAAGACGACUAACUUCCUAGCUCAUUACAGACACCCCUUCCCCUUUCCUCUCUGCUUUCUUUUAUGUGCCCACCUUAUCUAAAAAAAAUCAAAUAUUUACCCAACCGGGAUUAGUUUAGAUUAUACAAACCAACCCUAGCCAAUGGGGAAAGGGUACAGGGGCAGGAAUUGCAUUAGGAAUAAAGGCUCUCGUGCCCCUUUGUUCAGGUGUGUUCUCAUGGCGACUGGCCAAGGGGGCACCCCUCUGCACAGAAGUAAAAUUGCUUUGCUAAGAA